AAGCCACUUAUUCAUCAGAGAUUGGAUUUAAACCUCCUUGGUUGAUUAGAUUCCUUGAUAUAUGUGGCAUGGAGGCUGCAAUCACAAUUCAGGGAGUUUACGUUUUGACCCACAUACUGGUAGCUUGGAUUUUCUUCUCUGUGGUAACUCCUGAGAGAGCACAGCCUUAGGUAUGCACAUAGUCUUCCAGAUUACCAGGGAUGUGCAUGAUUUUAUUUUUAAUCCUGGCUUCCUAGUAGUUGCCUCUGAGUCAGAGUAGUUUAUUGUUCAAGCAGUAUUUGUUCAGAGGUUGGCCCUAAGCCCCUAGUGCUGGUGGGGCUUCAGCUGUUUGCUGAUGGAUCUGUGUUCUGGUUGGCAAAUGAUUUUCAGUCUUCCUGUUCCUGAGCAGGUUCAGCCUGGGGCUUGCACACAAACUUCUAGAUGACCCAGAGAUAAGUGUGAUCCAAGGAGGGCUCUUCUUGGCAAUCUUUUUCCCUGAUUCUUCCUGUUAAAUUUCUGGUUGUUCUGCCAUUUUGCUUGUUGCUACUAGUAUUAUGGAGCUAUGAGCAUACUCUUUAAUUUUCUCCACCAAGAUCUCUGUUGUUUCAGACAACAUCAUUGAGCUGGAAUUCUUUAUCCUCUCUUCUAAAUAAGGUCAGUCCCUUAAAUACAGCUGGGGAGGUUUUCAUCCUGCCUUUCCUCCGAACAGAACUUCUGCACCACUGCACAGAAGCUGGAGGUGGAGACAGAAGCCCACUUCUAGAAUGACACCCUGCUCUACAGGUAGACGUGGGCUGGGGGGAAGGAGGUGGCAGCCCCCUGGAGCUCCUGGUCUUCCUAGCUUGUGCAUUCUGGUAUGGAACUUCCACUCUGACAGCAAGUUGGAGAAGGGGCAACUGGAGCCCCGUGUUCUUGGGACUCAUGCACCUGGAGUUGAAAUUUCACCCUAUGAGUAGAGGCAAAGUAGAAGAAGGGAGUCACAAUUGUCUCUCUCAAUCACCUCCACUAGGCAUAGAGCUUUUGCAUUCCUAGUGGAGGAAGGAGAAGGUGUGAAAUGUGGGUGGCCUGCCCUUCCUGGGGUGAUACCAAGGACCUAUGUAUGCUAGGACCUGCAGGGACAGGGAGCCCACUUCUUGACCACAGCCACCAGAGCAGAUAACCUUGAGAAGUUUCCAUAAGACAGUGCUGACGGUGGGUAGGGGGAACAAGUCACGGCUCCAAUGCCACAGACUCCUGCUGUUCUGAAGGAUAUUUAGUAGAUUUUCUUGAAAGAAUGUUUUUCCAUUUGCAUAUUUCCUUAGGACAGUUUGUAAAAAAAAAUUUAAAUAAUUAUAAUUUUCUCCAGUCAAAUAGUUGUUUUGCUAGGGAAAGAAAAUGUUGCACUCAACACUUUGCCAUUCUGGAAGGAAGCCUCAAUCCACACAUUUUUUAAAAACUUCAAGUAGUUGCCAACAUACAAAUCCAGAUUUCUUGUCUCUCUGACAAAGCAAAUAUUUAUCUCACUGCAACCACUUUUCCAGCAGAUAGCCCCUGCUCUGUCCAGGGCCAGGGUUGCUGCAGUUACUCACAGCGUAGCUCACUGUUCACCCGUUCACCAUCGCCCUCACCCAAAAUGCUCACAACAUGUAUGUUGGCAGGCAUUUGAAUUGCACCCUCUGAAACUGCAAGGGAAUUUUAGGCAAAAGCCAAAAUGCAGGUGAAUGCCAGGGACACAAAAAAGCACACACUCCUUGGAGAACUGCCCUGCUUAGUAGUAGUGCCAAGAGAUAUGAGGACGGACAGACCAGAGGGGCUGGACAUUGGAAGCUAGGAAGACUGGACUUCAUCCUAGAGGGACUAAAGGGUUUUAAGCAAAGGAUUGGUAUGACCAAAUUAACAUUUUAAAGAAACCAUUCAGGCUGCCAUGAGGACAACAGAAGGUAAUCAGCCACAUGUGGACGCCAUAAUACAGGUGGGAGGGUGUGAAGACCUCACCUAAGGCCAACCCUGGAGAAAGAAAGAAGCGAAAGGAAGAUACUUUCAAUCUGAUUUCCUCAUCUCAUUCAUUAUUCAAAUGUGGUGGGCAGGUGGAAGUUGAAGGGGCAAUACUAGACCACAAAAAAAUUCUCAGAUUCUAGCAAUACCCGCACACAAAUCACUUGGGGAUCUUGUUAAAGUGCAGCCUCUCAUCAGUAGGUCUGAGCGGGGUCUGAGAUCCUGAAUUUCUUCCAGGCUCCCAAGUGAUACCAAUGCUGUAAGAGGGUGGUACAGUAAGAGUAGGAGCAGAGUCUCCAGAAAGACCUGUGUUCACUCGAGUCACAGCUGUCACUUUCUAUCUGCAUGAUCUUUUUGUGCUUCUCUUCCUUUCCUUAUUUAUAAGACGGUGAGGGUGGUGGUUAGUAGCAGUAGUAUUGGUAGUAAUAGUAGGAGGAGAAGGAGUAAUCCUCACAUCAUAGUAUUAUUAUGAGGUUCAAAUGUGGUAAUGUGCAUAAGGGCUCAGAGUAAAAGAAGCUCCAUAAAGGUUAUCUGCUAUUCUUACCACUUUGCUGGUUAUUUUUGUUCUUGUUGUCAUUAUUACGUAGACAAUGGCAACAUUCACUGAGCUAGGAGCAAUAAGAGGAGAAAAAGAAGUGGAUCAGCUUAGGUUUGGCCAUGUGGAGUCUGAGAUGCCUCUGAGUCACCCCAUGGAAUUCCCUGGUAGGUCACUACAUAUAUGGCCCUGGAGCCUCAGAAGAACAGUCUGGAUUACAGUCCUGUGGAUUCGGGAGUCACUGCCAUGUAAGUGGCGAAUUCGUAAGUGGAUAAAAUCACCUUAACUACCAGCAGAAACGAGCCUUGGACUAAAGCCUGAGGAUGAUGAAUAUUUAAAGCACAGGCAGAGGAGCCUGGCAGAGAUGAACUUUAAAUUCUUUAAAGCCUAGUGGCAGUUCUUAAUGUCUGGUACGGGAUGGUUAUACAAUAAAUCUGUAUUUAAUUGUGAGUAAGAAUAGGUGAUUAUGUUAAAUGGAAGACUGAUUAAAAUUCUGCUGAACUUCUCUUUCCUCUAAUCCACAUAAUCACAUCAGUGACUUCAGAUUUUCUCUCCUCUGCCCUGUUUCCUGUGCAUCUUUUGCAUAUUCUUGGCUAUAUUUGAAAUGCUUUCACGACACUUCUCUUAUCCGUACCCACAUUUUCUUACCCACCGUAUAUCAAUCAAAAGAGGUAGGAAAUGUGCCUCCCGUGGUUCCAAAAGAAUAAUCUCUCCCUCCUCCCUGCAUCACCAGUACCUGGCCUGGAAUGUGUAGACCAGCACUGUCCAGUAGAAUUUUCUGCAAUGACGAAAUGUUUUAUAUCUAUCCUAUACAUAACGAUAGCUACUAGCCACAUGUGCCUAUCAAGCACUUAUAAUACGGCUAAUGUAACCAAAACCUAAAUGCUUAAUUGAAUUUUAAUUAAUUUACAUUUAAGUAGCCAUAUGUGACUAGUAGCUAUCAUAUUGAACAUUGCAGCAGAAGAUACUGAAAAAGUAUUUGUUGGUUGGAUGACAUCUAGAGGAACAGAUCUCUAGCCACUCCUCCCAGCAGAGAAUCACAGUGUACCACCUCAAGCAAAUAAUUUUAAUUAAUUUACAUUUAAGUAGCCAUGUGUGACUAGUAGCUAUCAUACUGAACGGUGCAGCAGAAGAUACUGAAAAAGUGUUUGUUGGUUGGAUGACAUCUAGAGGAACAGAUCUCUAGCCACUCCUCCCAGCAGAGAAUCACAGUGUACCACCUCAAGCAAAUAAUUUUAAUUAAUUUACAUUUAAGUAGCCAUGUGUGACUAGUAGCUAUCAUACUGAACGGUGCAGCAGAAGAUACUGAAAAAGUGUUUGUUGGUUGGAUGACAUCUAGAGGAACAGAUCUCUAGCCACUCCUCCCAGCAGAGAAUCACAGUGUACCACCUCAAGCAAAUAAUUUUAAUUAAUUUACAUUUAAGUAGCCAUGUGUGACUAGUAGCUAUCAUAUUGAACAGUGCAGCAGAAGAUACUGAAAAAGUGUUUGUUGGUUGGAUGACAUCUAGAGGAACAGAUCUCUAGCCACUCCUCCCGGCAGAGAAUCACAGUGUACCACCUCAAGCAAAUAAUUUUAAUUAAUUUACAUUUAAGUAGCCAUGUGUGACUAGUAGCUAUCAUAUUGAACAGUGCAGCAGAAGAUACUGAAAAAGUGUUUGUUGGUUGGAUGACAUCUAGAGGAACAGAUCUCUAGCCACUCCUCCCGGUGGAGAAUCACAGUGUACCAUCUCAAGCAAUGGGAGAGAACAAUGGCUUAAGGACAUAAGGUAAGUUCUAUGUGCUACAGCUGGAAAGAUAAACUUUAUUCAUAUCACAAUUUUGCCUGAAACUACUGUCGUGUGGAACACAUAAACUAAUUUGUAUACAUGCAAACAGGCUUUAACCAAUCACAAAAUAUGUAUUCUUACAUUGGGAUUUUCUAAGGCAAAUUAUGCCAGCCACAUAAUUUCCCUUAGAAAAUCCCAAUGUGAGAAUAUAUAUUACAUUGGGAGGGCCAGCUUUAUGGUAUGCAACCUGUGCAGUCACACAGGACCCCACACAUAGGUCUCCCCUAUUGAUUUCAUUCAUUACUUUUAUCAUCCUGAAAUUCUUAAUUAUUUUUUAAUGAAGGUCCCUCAUUUUCAUUUUGCACUGGGCUCUGCAAAUUGUGCAGGUGGUCCUGUUCACAGCAGGACUAAUUAGCCUGGCCAACAUGGCAUGAUGAAGUGAGAUUUAUUUCAGGGAUGCGAUGCAAAGAUAGUCCAACAUACACAAAUCUCUAUAUGUAAUAAACCACAUUAACAGAAUGAAGGACAAAAACUAUAUGAUCAUCUCAAUAGAUGCGAAAAAUCACUUAACAAAAACUCAACAUUUUUUCAUGAUAAAAAAUCUCAACUAAUUAGGUAUAGAAGAAUUGUACCUUCAAUACAAUAAAGGUCAUAUGACAAACCCACAGCUAACAUCAUACUCAAUGAGGAAAAAUUGAGAGCUUUUCCUCUAAGGUCAGGAACAAGACAAGAAUGCUCGCUCUCACAUUUGUAUUCAACAUGCUUCUAGAAGUCCUAGCGAGAGCAAUCAGGCAAGAGAAAGAAAUAAAAGGCAUCAAAAUUGGGAAAGAAGUGUAGAUUGUCCCUGUUUGCAGAUGACAUGAUCUAUAUAUAUAAAGCCCUAAAGAACCCACUACAAAUGGUUAAAACUAAUAAACAAAUUCAGUAAAGUUGCAAAAUCAACAUACAAAAAUCAGUAGCCUUACUAUACACUGACAGCAAACUGUCGAAAAAGGAAAUCAAGCAAUUCUAUAUAUGAUAGCUAUACAAACACUUAAUACUUAUGAAUACAUUUAACCAAGGAGGUGAAAGAUAUCUACAUAGAAAACUUUAAAAUACUGGUGAAUGAAAUUAAAGAAACACAAAUAAAUGAAAAAUCAUCUCAGGCCGGGGGCGGUGGCUCACGCUUGUAAUCCCAGCACUUUGGGAGGCCGAGGCAGGCAGAUCACAAGGUCAGGAGAUAGAGACCAUGGUGAAACCCCGUCUCUACUAAAAAUACAAAAAAUUAGCUGGGCGUGGUGGUGGGCGCCUGUAGUCCCAGCUACUCGGAGAGGCUGAGGCA
rnacentral:lncRNA from 1 species